rnacentral:lncRNA from 1 species
GGGCACUUUUCCGGGCUCCGAGGUCCUCCUGCAGGUGCGGCCGGUGCAUUAGGAAGGCUGUCCCCACAGGGUCCCGGCGCCCGGCCUCUCCCGCCGCCACUAUCUCAAGUGGACACUCCCGGAACACCCGUGUUCUUCCCCAUCCCCCGGGCCCGAGGCGCAGGGGGCGCGGGUGAGGGGAACCCUGGCUUACCAGCAAGAGGGGCGCGGAGCGCAACCCGGCAGCAGGCGCGGUCCCCGGGGGCCUCGGUGGGGGCUUCCUCCGCGUCGUUCUCGGCCCGACCCCGGCCGCCCGGCUGCUCCGGUUCCCUCCGCUGCAGCCGGCCGGGCGGCACGGGGGCACUCGCGGUGGCUCCGCUCCGGCGCCGCCGCCUCCUACUGCCCGCCUGCCGCCCUGGCGCUCCUGGGCUCGGAGUCCGGGGUUCUGAGACGCGGGGGUCGUCGGGGCGUUCGAGACUAUCGGGGACGCUAAGGCUGCACUCGGACUCUCCCGCGCGCGGCCCCGCGCCGGGGGACGCCUCGCUCGAGGCGCGCGGGCGUCAAAGGCUCGGGGCGCGCGGGGGCGGCGGCCGGGUGGGCCCCGGGGCGGCGGGCAGGGGCGCUGCUGCGGACGCGGGCACUGAUGCGGGCGCCGCGGCGCGGCCUCUCGCCAUGGCUCCCCGGCGAGCGGGCGGCUCGCACCUCCCCUCCGCGCUGCCGUCACCGCCCGACGCGCGCCGAGCCCUCCCCCUUCCCGGCCCCGCCCGCCGCCCCGCGCCGCCACCUGCGGGCCGCCCUCCGGGAUUCCCGCCGACCACGUCCCAGUCGUCCGGAGCCGCGCCCCGCCUUCCUCGCCCGUGGCCGCCCCUGCACUUUUACCCACGCCGUGGGGCACAGAGAAGUAUCCGGGGUCAUAGAGGACAUUGGGAGGACUUGAAGAAGAAGAAGACCAGAACCAAAGGUGUAAGGAAACUAAACCCUACAAAACCUGAUUUCUCAUACUGGCAUAGACGACUUGAAGAGAUCAUCAAGUGUAUAGUGAAGAUUGGUUCAGGCAAGAAUCAUCCAUGGAUGCUUACUCUAGGGGGCUGUUACUGGCUGACAGAUAUUUGUCUGGGUUGA